rnacentral:lncRNA from 1 species
UGUGACGCACUGGACCUUUGCAAAUUGCGAGGUUCGAGUGUUUGGAUAGUGUCCCGAGUUUUUCCAGACUUUCUGGUGGGUCGUUGACUGUGUUCCGACCCAUGGCUCGUAUCCCGAGAAUUGUGGUAUUAUAUGUAGCGCUAAGGUCACCAAAGAGUUGGACUUAGCCUACCCUCGGAUUGCAUUCUGCACGAGGUGUAACCGGUGACAGGUCGAUGGCUGUACCGGUACACAUUUUGUACCGGUACACUUUUGAUGGCUGUACCGGUACACUUGUGACGAAUUUCAAACCCGAGCCUCGGGUUUGCAUUUUCGUAGGAUUUGUACCGGUACAUUUUCCCGUGUACCGGUACACUUUGGCAGAAUCUGAGCAGUUUGAACUGCAGGGUGUUUCGCAAUUGUAGCCUUCUAUUUAGUACCCCACGCCCCUUAGGGCUUCUCCUGAGCUCAGAUCACAGAGAGGGCAAGGUAGGGCACCCUUCUUCUCCUCCUCCCUUGGAUUUGAUCCCAUUCUCUUGGAUUUUGGAGGAUUAAACCCUCUUUUUGCUCUUUUUGCUUGUUGGAAGCUUUUCCUCCAUUGGAGCUUGACCUUGGAGCUUGGGAAGAGGGAGAUCUCCACACUUUGAGGAUUUUGGAGCUUGGUUUGAAGCUUCUUAGAGGUAAGUUACUUGUUCUCUCCCUCUAGACUUGAGCUUUAUUGAUGGAUUUGAGAUGAAACCCUAGAUUGUAAUAUUAGGGUUAUUUUUGGGUAUUUUGAAGCUAGGGCUAUUGGAGCUAGAUUGAUUGGUUUAGAGGCUUCCAUUAGGUGGGAUUGGAUGGACUCUAGCUCUCUUUUGGAGCUUUAGAGGAGAUUUUUGCACUUGAGGUGAGUUUUCCUCCACCUAUGCUUGAAUAGCUUAAAGAUUGAACUUAGCGUCGUUCGUUUCGACUAGAUGACACUUGUUCUCAUACCUUUAGGGUACUAGGAGUGUGGUGGACGCCUUCGUCGUGGCAAACGAAAGCUUUCGUUGACGACGGUGGGUUUGACUUCAUGAAAACGGGGUGAAAUGGCCCCUAUGCUUUCUAAACUCUUCGUAAAGUAUUUUUGAAUGUAUUUCUAUGCUAAUUGAAAUUUAUGUGAAUUUUAGAACACUUAAAAUGCAUGCCCUAUGUGUAAGUUAAAUUUCACUCUAUAUAGUAGAGUAAUCGGGGUUAUUUUCAUGCAUGUGAGGGGUGUUCAUGUGGACGAAUGGGAUUCUCGUCUAGUAUGCUAAUUUAGCUCAUAUUCGUGUAUUGGAAACAUUAUACUAUAUUUGGACUUAGUAGCCUAAAGUGUCAUCAAGAGGCACUUGAAACUAGUAUGUGAGAUAUGGAUCCCGAGAAUCUAAAAGGUAAGUAACACCUAGAGGGGGGUGAAUAGGUGUAAAACGGCAAACUCAAAAAUCUCGAUGCAAAUAAAACAAAGUAGCGGAAAAAAAAACAGCAUACCGAGAAUUUAACGUGGGAAAACUCCAAUUCGGAGUGAAAAACCCACGGGACCGAUCACGCGAAGAAAAUCCACUAAGAAAACUUGAGUACAAGUGAUUUUGACAAAAAUACACGACUCAAUUUACCGAUUUCCCGUAGAUAGCAAUCUUCACCGGUCCUCGAUCGAUGGGAAUCCUCCAAUCGAUCUCGCUGCAACUCCUCGCAGCAUCAACGCCUCAACUCCACAAAGCGUCCACCGAAUCCUCGGCUACACGCGAGCUCCACGCGCCGAAUCUCCGUCCGGAGCUUGUUGAAUCGAAGAUUUGUGGUGAUUAAGCUUUAGAAUCCCAUAAGCUAUGAGGGUCUAUCUUUAACCAAACAUCUACUUGAUUCUCGUAUAAGAUUUCGAGUAAAAACGAGGAAUCAAGUUGAUUUUGAUUAUUAGAACCUUGUUAUUAGAAUAAAUCCAUGAGAACAUCAAAAACAAGUUUCUAGGGUUUUGUAUAUGUAGAAAUUCAAAGCCUCACAUUUUUAGAUGACCCCCAUAGCUUAUUUAUAUGUUUAGAAGACUUAGAAGUAGACUAGGAUUGCAAAAAACCUUUUUUAAAAACCUGUGUCGUCCUCAGGGACCGGUCCUCUCGAGGAGACCGGUCUGUGAGAGACCGGUCUCUCAAGUGAGGAACCGGUCCCUCGCUGCGUAACCAAAACCACAACGUUCGGAAACCUGUCUCUCAAACUUGAGACCGGUCCCUCGCUGCGCGACAGAAUAACCAAGGUUCGGGAACCGGUCUCUCAUCUCCAGGAACCGGUUGCAUCACAAAUUACGCAGUGAGGAUCUUAGGGGAACCGGUCUCUUGAACUCAGAGACCGGUCCCAGAACACAGAAAAGUUCAGAAAAGUAAUUUUAAAGCAAUCUAAGCCUUCUGAACUUAUUCUAAUUAGUUAUCUUUACCACAAAUGAUUUUUUCAUCAUACCUUAGGUGUCGAGCUUUCCGAAUGAGUCUUUGUUUUUCAAUUUGGAUCUUUUAUUUAAACUUCCGCAAUCAACUCUUCAAGACUCCAUUCAACAUUACGAAAUCCGCCAACCUAUAAAAUCCUUAACAAUCUCCCCCUUUGGCGAUUUCGUGACAAAAUAUAUUAUAAAGCUCGUACACAACUCAGAAAUAAUAAAAAGAAGAUCAUCGCAAUCACCAAACGAUAAUCUCCUGCAUGAUCGAUCCAAUAAACGAAAAUUACAAUUUUUAUAACCUUAAUACAGACUUAAUACAGACUCUAUGACUUAGACGACAUGGAGUCUUGAAGUCUUGAAUUAUUCCUAAGUCAACAUCAAAGCUAAGUCAGCCUAAAUUCUAAAGUUCAAUCUAAAAGCAGCAUCAUCAUCAAAAGCAUCAUCAUCAUCAAAAUCAUCAUCAAAAACCAUCAAAACCAUCAAAAACCAUCAAAACCAUCUCCCCCUUUUUGUCAGAAAGCGCCAAAACGACCAAAGGAGGAACCCCAACACAUUUAAUCUGAAGUAUCCCCAGGGGGUAAAUCAGCUCGGCAACACCCCAACUUGUCAAAAAUCAUAUUCAGUAAUCGCUUCAUCUUGCUCACAUCCUUCCGUAUUGCAGCUUGCUCCGCAGACAGCUUCUGAAGCUCCUCAGAUAAGCGUUGCUGCUCACGAUAUACAGAAGAAACUGAGAUAUCUUCCUCGGAAAUAUCCAUAGAAGGACGCGAAGACGUAGCAGUAGCAGUAGCAGGAGGUGGAGCCGCAGGAGGGGAAGAAGCACGCUGAGAUGGAGUACGAAGCUGCACCGAGGACUUCACAAAUGUCCGUUCAUUGAUCCGACCUAAGCUGUGCUCAUAAGAUGAACAACGAACAUCUACGUCAUGAAGUCGCAGAAUCCUCAUGAUAGUAAGUGGAAAUGGCAAUCUCUCAUUUUGUCCAGAAGUCUUUAUGUCCUUAGCCAUUCUCCGCCAGAUCAAAAAUGGAAUAUUCAUAUUUAUAUUUCUGGCACUUACAAUAUCUGGCUUUCCCAAAAGAUACAUAAACAAAAUACGAUCCCAUCGCAAAAUCUUCGUGUUCGCAAGAGGCAUAAUGUUGUAGCAAACCACGAAGUUCAGAAAUCUAUACUCCAUUCGGAAAUCUUUGGACAUAACCAUAAUUCCGUUGGACUCAGUACCAGGCAUGCAAAUCGUAUUCACAACACGGUUCCAAUCGCGAAGUGAGUCGAACCCGGCCUGUAGAUAUUCCACUCCCUCAGUCCUUGCUUCCAUACCUAGCACAUCCGCUAUUGUAGCUGGAGUGAUUGAUAACUCAACCCCACGGACAGAAGUCUGAAAGACGUACGGACCGCCGUCGGAGUCACUCAGAUGACCUGCUCUCAUAUAAAAUUCUCUGAUCAACUCCAAACAAAAACCCGUUUGCUCCGGGAAAUUACAAAUAUGGUGAAGAUUUCCUUUUUCAAAUAACUCCUGAAACCCCGGCACACAGUUACUAAUACUCGCAACCCCAACAUCACGCUCUCCGAUACAAUGCUUUGACGAAUACAUGGACCGUCGAGCAGAUGGAACAUCCUGCAGACUAUGACGUGGAGGCUCAGAACCUGGUUCUCUAAUGUCAACCCCUCCACUCUUGCGACGACCAGAAUGUUCAGAUGCCUUUCCUUUGCCUUUAUCGACGGCUUUUUCUUUUCCCUUUCCUUUUCUUGUAUCCGUAUCCUUAGCCAACACCUCCGGAUCAUAAGGAUCCCAAUCUGGCUCGUCCUCCUCAGAUUCGUCGCCUGGAGCAUAUUCGCUCCCUUCAUCUUCCGGUUGUUGCUCAACCGGUCGUUUAGCUUUGGAGCGCUGUCGUUUGCUUCCACGACCACCCCCAGCCAUAAGGACAACAAGAACAAGAAUCCACAAGUACAUUUUCGAAAAUCACCUGUUGAACAUAAUGAAGCUUGCAUAAAAAUUUUUUUUUUUUAAAAUACCAAAAAUUUUGAGCAAAUUGGUAAAUAAAUACUAGAUAAUCCUAGAGGCCUCAAGAUCAUGAUAAACACAAAUCAUGCACCAAAAACAGGUUUUGCACAUUAAAAUUAACAGGUUUAACAUGAAAAAUUGUCGAAAAUAAACCAAAAAGAUGAAGAAAUACUAGAGAAAAUGAAAAUAACAGAUCGAGUAGCAAGAUCAUAGCAUAAAAGAGCACAUGCAGCAAGAUUUCUAGAACAACCACCAAAAAAUCGAAAACAAAACACAUUUUCGGAGUAUAUGAUAUAAAUGCAACAAAAUCCGAAAAACAUACCUAAAAUCAAAGCAAAUCGGAGAAGAUCAGGAGUAAUCCCUACUCAGGACGCAAGAGAGAAGCAAGAGAGAACGUAAGGAACGAAAAAAAAUAAAUUUUGACGGUAGUACAAAAAGAACGCACGCGAAAAGCCCUUUAUCGGGUCUGGCGGAGGGACCGGUCUCUCCUGCCUGGGACCGGUCCCAGAGCCUGAAAUUUUUAAUAAAUUUUAAUUGAAGCCCGAAAAUUCCAGAAAAAUUAUAAGGUAUUCCAUAAUGUUCAAUCAACAAAAAUAACCAAUUUACAUCUCCAAAAACUUUCAAAUAAAAUUUCAUAAAUAAAAUUUGAAAAAUCAAUUUCAGGGAUAUUCAAAAUUUCAAAAUUGUUGAUCCGAAAAGGAAUGAAAAUUCUUAAUACAUAUAAAAUGAAGUCCCACACACCAUGCAAGAUCUAGGAAUUUAUUAUAUCAUUAUACCAUCAUAUUUUGUUAAAGAAAAUGAAUAAAUAAUUCUCAGAAUCGUGAAAUUAACAUAAUAUGUUCAAAUUGAGUUAUGCACAAAAUUCGAGAAAGGAGUGGCUCUUUGAGCAUCUUUUUAUUGACAUUCCACCUUAUAUCACCUACAAGAAGUAUAGCUCUUUGAGCAUAUAUUUUAUUUUGGACUCCGAAAGGUACUUUCCUUUUGUCUUAUAGAGAUAUUUUAAUCAACAUGUGGUAGCUGCACACACUGACCGGACGACCGGGGUGGUAGCUCUUUCCUCCAUGGGGUGGUAGUUUUCACACUCCCAGCAGGGAUGUAACUCUUUCCACAUCUUGAAUAUCAGAAAUUGUCAUAACCGAAAUUGGAAAGACUCCCCCUAAAUUAGUGCAACCCUCAAGUCAAAAAUAUUAUUGCAAUUUCAAAAACAGAGAACGAGCUAUUCAUCUCAAAACUAAUAAUCAAGCAAACAAUUGCAAUAUUCAAAGUUCGAAGCAUGAGGUGUUGAAUUUGAUUUAAUAUGCCAAAUAGAAUUUCAAAGAUUUGAUCGUUCAAAAAUAUGACAAUAGAGAACAACCCUGACAGUGAUCAAUCAAAAAUUAAAUAUGAAAUAUUUAAAGUCACAGAACAAAUCAGCAGCAUUAUUCAUGAAAUUUUUAAUCCUCUUCGUAUGUGUAAUCAAGAAACACCAGAAAACAUGCAGAUAAACAUGCAACAUGCACAUGAUCUAUGGCCCAAAGAAAUAUCUAGAUUGAAGGAUUCAUACCAAUAGCCUUUCUUAAAUGCAGAAACCGUUUUUGAUCCAAAGGUUUGGUUAAAAUAUCUGCAAGUUGAUUUUCAGUCGAAAUAUAUUCAAGUUGUAGAAUGUUUGAUUCAACCAGUUCUCUUAGAAAAUGAUAUCUUAGUUCAAUAUGUUUUGUUCGAGAAUGUAAAACAGGGUUUUUAGAAAUGUUAAUUGCACUUGUGUUGUCACACAGAAUAGUAAGGGUGGUAGAAGGAAUCCGAUAGUCGCUCAGCAAGCUUUUCAUCCAAAUUAAUUGAGUAGAGCAACUCCCGGCAGCAAUGUAUUCAGCUUCGGCGGUGGAAAGAGCAAUACAAUUUUGUUUCUUACUGUGCCAAGCAACCAGACAGUGUCCAAUGUAGAAACAAGCUCCACUAGUACUUUUCCGAUCAUCUGCGGAGCCUGCCCAGUCAGCAUCUGAAUAGCCGAUUAGAUCAAGAGAUGUUCCCAUCGGAUACCAGAGGCCAUACGUGGUUGUACCUUUAACGUAUCGAAUGAUUCUUUUAACUGCUUUCAGAUGUACUUCCUUCGGGUUAGCUUGAUAACGAGCACAAAUUCCAACACUAAACGCAAUAUCUGGUCUGCUCGCAGUCAAAUACAGUAGGCUACCAAUCAUGCUUCUGUAUUGUUUCUCAUCCACGCUCUGUCCUUCCAAACUCAAUCCAAGUCCUUUGUUGCUUGUACCCAUUGGAGUGUCGAAUUCCUUUGCAUUGUCCAAUCCAAAUUUCUUAACCAAUUCUUUUGCAUAUUUGGAUUGACACACGUGAAUUCCAUCCUUAGUUUGCUUAACUUGAAGUCCGAGAAAAUAAUUAAGCUCCCCCAUCAUUGACAUCUCAAACUCGCUCGUCAUCAAUUUUGCAAAAUCACUGGCAUCCUUAUCCUUAGUUGCUCCAAACACUAUGUCAUCAACAUAAAUUUGUGCCACAAUGAAAUCAUUCUUUAAGUGUUUUACAAAUAGAGUCCUAUCCGCUCCCCCUCGUUUGUAGCCAUUUUCCAAAAGAUAUUUUGUUAAUCGAUCGUACCAUGCUCGUGGAGCCUGUUUUAGUCCAUAAAGUGCCUUUUUCAAUCUAAAAACAUGAUUUGGAAAUUUUGAGUCUAUAAAUCCUUUUGGUUGUUCAACAUAAACUUCCUCUUUUAAAAAUCCGUUUAGAAAUGCACUUUUAACAUCCAUUUGAAACAGAGUGAUCUUAAAAUGACAGGCAAUGGCGAACAGGAUACGAAUUGAUUCAAGACGGGCAACCGGGGCGAAUGUUUCAUCAAAGUCUAUUCCCUCAAUUUGUGAGUACCCCUGAGCAACAAGUCUCGCUUUGUUCCGAACAAUAGUACCAUCCUCAUUUUUCUUAUUCUUAAAGAUCCAUUUGGUGCCGAUUAUGUGUUGUUGCUCAGGACGUGGCACCAAUUCCCAUACAUCAUUGCGAACAAAUUGACCAAGUUCUUCUUGCAUGGCAUUUAUCCAAUAUUCAUCACAUAGAGCUUCGUCAAUGUUCUUUGGCUCGAUCAAGGAAACAUAACAUGCGAAUUCACACUGUAACUGACUUCUUGUUCGCACUCCAACAGUAGGAUCCCCUAUGACAUUUGAUAAAGGAUGAUCUCUUGACUCUGUUAGGGGUGUAGUCUCAGGAGAGAUGCUAGGGAUUUCUGAUGAGAUGUCUUGAUGCUCAGAUGAAUCAUUUGAUGCAAUAAUUUCAGAUGAAGCAGUAGAAUUAUCGAGUGCAGAAACUUCAUCACUUACAGGCAAUACAAAUGGAGAAUCAUUAUCAUCAUCAUUCAUCAAAGAGUUAGAAGAGCCAUUCGCAGAAGACCUUACAGAAGAAGCUUCAUCUACUUUUAUAUUAAUGGAUUCUAUCACCGUCUUAGAUCUUAAAUUGUACGCACGAUAGGCACGACUUGUAGUAGAAUAACCAAGAAAGAUGCCUUCGUCACUUCGAGAGUCAAACUUUCCAAGAUUAUCACGAUCCCGAAGGAUAAAACAUUUACUCCCGAAGACGCGAAAAUAUUUAAUAUUUGGUUUCCUACCAAGCCAUAGUUCAUACGGAGUAUUCAACGUACCCGGACGCACAUAAAUCCGAUUGAUAACAUAGACAGCUGUGUUAACUGCUUCGGCCCAAAAGUGUAAAGCAAUUUUCUUACUAUGAAGCAUAACACGUGCCAUCUCCUGUACCACCCGAUUUUUGCGUUCAACCACUCCGUUUUGUUGGGGUGUAUAAGGAGCCGAGAAUUCAUGUUUAAUGCCAUUAGAAACACAAAAGUCAACAAAUUUUGAGUUUAUGAAUUCUCCCCCUUGAUCACUUCUAAUACGUACAAUUUUAUCAUUCCGUUCAGUCAUAAGACGAAGACAGAUUUCAGAAAAAGAAUCAAAAGUAUCAGCCUUUUCUCGUAAGAAAGCACUCCAAACAAAACGAGUAAAAUCAUCAACAAUGAGCAAGAUAUAGCGUUUUCCUCCCAAACUUUGAAUUCUAGAUGGUCCCAUCAAAUCCAUGUGUAAUAACUCUAAGGGUUUAGAUGUCCCUAAGUGAUUCAAAUUCUUAUGUGCGGUUCUAGUCUGUUUCCCCAAUUGACAACCCCCACAUACAGUAUGCUCUUUGUAGUCUAUCUUAGGUACCCCUCUAACAACAUCCUUCUUUGUUAUCUUGGAUAGCUCCUUAAAGUUUAUGUGACCUAGUCGUUCAUGCCAUAAAGUUUCAGUUUCUAAUGACGCUAGGUUACAAUGUUCAGCUGUAGAACUAGGAACAACAUAGCAGUUAUUUUGUGAUCUAAUGCCCUUUAAAAAAAGAUUGUCAUCACGAACCACAUGGCAUUCUUUAUCAGAAAAAUUCACAGAAUACCCAUCAUCACACAGUUGGCUUAUGCUUACAAGAUUAGACUUAAGCCCCUCAACAUAGAAAACAUCAUUCAAAGUGGGGCCAUCUGAGAUAGUCACUGUUCCUUUCCCAACAAUUUUAGACGACCGACCGUCUCCGAAAACAACAAGUCCUCCGGAGAUUUUGUUUAAAGAAGUGAACCAAUUUUUAUCUCCGGUCAUAUGACGGGAACAACCACUAUCCAGAUACCAUGAAGUAUUAUCGUAAGCAUGAAGCGAAGUGUGAAUGACUAGGCAUGGGAAGAGUUCACCUUUGCGCACCCAAACCUUACGUGUUUUGGAUUGCGUCGGUUCGCUUGCUUUUGAUGAUCGUGGCUUGUCGACGAUUUGAAUUGACUUCUUCUUCAUAUUCUCCUUCUUUGGUUUCCAUGCCUGUUUUGCUGUUGAUUUCGGAACAUUAGGAGUCCAAGUUUGUCUCUUCUCCUUAUGAUUAACCUUCUUUGCAGUCCAAGUUGACUUCCUAUUAGGUUUAGGUUCAUUCUUCGUGAGUGAUGUUCUUUGAUUCAAGGGAGUUGAUGAGCUCUUUCCCUUUUGUUUGCAAAAUUUCUUUAUAUGACCUAAAACACCACAAAUGUGACAAGUUUUGUUAGUCAAAUUGUUUUGAGGAGAGACAAACUUACCGUAGAGCUUAGGAACAGCAGUUGACAAAUGUCCGUCAUCUUUCUUAGUUACUUGAUCAAUAUACGUCCGUUCAUAACCAAGUCUAAGUUUAUUAGUUUGACCAAGUCCAAGCAUCUUGUCAAGUUUACUCGAACCAGACGAAAAUUGAUGAAGAUUUGACUUCAAUUGAAUGAUUGUCUUGGUGAAUUCCAUAUUUGCUUCUCUAGCCUCCGAAUAUUGCUUGGUAAGAUAAUCAAUGUUUUCAAUGUGUGUCACCUUUUCCUUUUCGAGUAAUGAACACUUCUCAAUUAAAGAAUUGUAAGCUUUUGACAAACCAUCUCUCUCUUGUUCUAAAUCCUUUGUUAGAGAGACCAAUUUUAAAUUUUCUUGUUGCAACUCAUGUAGACUCCGCCGCAGUCUCUUGUUAUGUUUUGCUACCUUCUUUGAUUCGACAACCAAUUGUUGAUAUGCUGCGACCAUGUCGUCUUCGUCCGAUUCUUCAUUCGAUGAGUUCUCCGAAGAUGAUUUCUCAUGAAUAGAUGACACAGAAAUGGAAUCUGUAGAUACCAAACACAUAAAAGUUGAAUCCUGUGCAAUCAGGGCCGUGGCAUUUACAUCCUCAUCACUUGAAGUUGAAUCAUCAGAUGAGGAGUCGUCCCACGUGAUAGCUUGCAUCGCCUUCUUCUUCAAUGACUUUUUAUUUGGACAGUCCGAAGCAAUAUGACCAAAGCCUCUACACUUGUAGCAUUGAAUCUGACCUUCACUGUUUUUCUUCUCUUUUGUAGAGUUCUUUUGGGAAUUUUCCGAUUUUCUGAACUUUGACGAAGAAGAAGAAAACGAUCCUCCUUUAGAUUUGCUCGUCUUGGAGGAAGUGGACUUGGGAGGAAACUUCUUUCUAAAGUUCCGACGAAACUUCUUAGUUAGAAGCGCUAGUUGCUUUUCAAACUCCUCCAAAGUUUGCUCCGACUCUGAAUCCGAUGAAGUUGAAGUGACAUCUCCUUUUGUCGAUUUUAGAGCCAUCCCUGAAGCUUUAGAAAAAGACUUGGACGAGGAUGAAUUAGAAGGAAAAGUCAUUUCAUAAGUUUGAAGUGCACCUACUAAUUCUUCUACUUUGAGUUCAUCAGGAUGUUUGACCGUUUCAAUAGCCGCAACCUUAGGACGAAAUCGUUCGGGAAGGGUUCUCAAAAUUUUUCGAACAAUUUUGGAAUCGGGAAUUUUCUCGCCCAAGUUAGCACACGUGUUCACAAUGUCUUGCAAACGAGUAUAAUACUCGGUAAAAGAUUCAUGUUCUUCCAUACGAAUGGAAUCAAAUCUACUAGUAAGCAUUUGCAAUUUUUGAAUCUUAACCAAGCUUGUACCCUCGUGUGUAACUUGCAAAGUAUCCCAAAUCUCCUUGGCGGUUUCACACGCCGAGACGCGAGAAAAUUCAGUUUGAUUUAAAGCAUUAAAAAGAGCAUUGAUACCCUUCCCAUUGUACGAAGAUAAUUCGUUUUCUUCUUUCGUCCACUUAUUUCUAGGUUUCGGACCGAUAACAGUUUCGACAACUUCCGUAGGAUGUUUCCACCCGAAUUCAACGGCUUGCCAAACCCGCUCGUCGAUGGCAAUAAGAAACGCCCUCAUACGGACUUUCCAAUAAGCGUAAUUAGUGCCAUCGAAGAGAGGGGGUCGAUUGAUGUUACCGCCCUCGGCCAUGUUUUACAACCUAUACCCGCUCUGAUACCACUUGUGAGAUAUGGAUCCCGAGGAUCUAAAAGGUAAGUAACACCUACAGGGGGGUGAAUAGGUGUAAAACGGCAAACUCAAAAAUCUCGAUGCGAAUAAAACAAAGUAGCGGAAAAGAAAACAGCACACCGAGAAUUUAACGUGGGAAAACUUCAAUUCGGAGUGAAAAACCCACGGGACCGAUCACGCGAAGAAAAUCCACUAAGAAAACUUGAGUACAAGUGAUUUUGACAAAAAUACACGACUCAAUUUACCGAUUUCCCGUAGAUAGCAAUCUUCACCGGUCCUCGAUCGAUGGGAAUCCUCCAAUCGAUCUCGCUGCAACUCCUCGCAGCAUCAACGCCUCAACUCCACAAAGCGUCCACCGAAUCCUCGGCUACACGCGACCUCCACGCGCCGAAUCUCCUUCCGGAGCUUGUUGAAUCGAAGAUUUGUGGUGAUUAAGCUUUAGAAUCCCAUAAGCUAUGAGGGUCUAUCUUUAACCAAACAUCUACUUGAUUCUCGUAUAAGAUUUCGAGUAAAAACGAGGAAUCAAGUUGAUUUUGAUUAUUAGAACCUUGUUAUUAGAAUAAAUCCAUGAGAACAUCAAAAACAAGUUUCUAGGGUUUU